GCUUUAAUAGUUUAAUAAAACAUUGGUCUUGUAAGCCAAAAAUGAGAUCUAAUAUCCUCUUAAAGCU
rnacentral:tRNA from 1 species